rnacentral:piRNA from 1 species
UGACUGGUGUUACCAUCUCCGUGGAGGC